UACGGAGGGGGUUAGCGUUGUUCGGAUUUACUGGGCGUAAAGCGCACGUAGGCGGAUCGUUAAGUCGGGGGUGAAAUCCUGGAGCUCAACUCCAGAACUGCCUUCGAUACUGGCGAUCUUGAGUCCGGAAGAGGUGAGUGGAACUCCUAGUGUAGAGGUGGAAUUCGUAGAUAUUAGGAAGAACACCAGUGGCGAAGGCGGCUCACUGGUCCGGUACUGACGCUGAGGUGCGAAAGCGUGGGGAGCAAACAGG
rnacentral:rRNA from 1 species